rnacentral:rRNA from 1 species
AUGGUCAGUGCGAGGUCAGUAGACAGGCAGUUGGAUGCGUGCUUCAGCAACCUCAUGGUGUCUAGCGGUGGUGGAAGGGGGCAGGCUGAAACUGGUGGCGCUAUGCCUAUGUUGUCAGGAUGGAAGGACCUUCCAAUGGAGCUGCUUAUGCGGAUCAUAUCAGUUGCUGGAGAUGAUCGAAUUGUCGUUGUGGCAUCCGGUGUUUGCACUGGCUGGCGCGACGCGUUAGGAUGGGGGGUCACUAAUCUUUCCCUCUCAUGGUGCCAGCAGAACAUGAAUAACUUAACAAUAUCAUUUGCUCACAAGUUCACAAAGCUUCAGGUUCUCACUCUUCGCCAAAUCAAACCUCAGCUUGAAGACAGUGCAGUAGAGGCUGUUGCCAACUACUGUUAUGAUCUACGUGAGUUAGACCUCAGCCGUAGUUUCCGGCUUAGUGACCGUUCAUUGUAUGCACUGGCCAACGGAUGUCCUCGGCUUACAAAACUGAACAUCAGUGGGUGUUCCAGUUUCAGUGACAGUGCCUUAAUCUACCUUAGUUGCCACUGUAAAAACCUGAAGAGCUUGAAUCUUUGUGGAUGUGGAAAGGCAGCCACUGAUGAAUCCUUGCAGGCCAUAGCCCAAAACUGUGGGCACCUGCAAACUUUAAACCUAGGUUGGUGUGACAAUGUCACAGAUGAGGGGGUUACCAGCUUGGCAUCAGGUUGCCCUGAUCUCAGGGCCCUGGAUUUGUGUGGCUGUGUUCUUAUAACAGACGAGAGUGUUAUUGCUCUAGCAAGCGGGUGCCCGUACCUGCGAUCUUUGGGCCUGUACUACUGCCAGAACAUCACCGACCGUGCCAUGUACUCCCUCGCAAACAGCUGCGUGAAGAGCAAACGAGGGAGCAGCUCGAAGGACGUCGAUGGGCUGGCAAACCUGAACAUCAGCCAGUGCACGGCCCUGACGCCCCCCGCGGUUCAGGCGGUGUGCGACUCCUUCCCGUCGCUCCACACCUGCCCGGAGAGGCACUCCCUCAUCAUCAGCGGCUGCCUCAGCCUGACUAACGUCCACUGUGCCUGCGGCCUCCAGCGCCACCGCGCCGGAAGCGCCCUGCAGGCCACCAGCCAUGCGUACUGA